AGGGAUAUAACUCAGCGGUAGAGUUUCACCUUGACGUGGUGUAAGUCAUAAGUCAUCAGUUCGAUCCUGAUUAUUCCU
rnacentral:tRNA from 1 species